rnacentral:miRNA from 1 species
UCUGUUUGUGUCUGUUUUCAGA